AAAUUAAAAUGUGAAUUUUUAAUAAACUUAUAGGCUAGCUGAAGUUCAGGUAAAUGGAUAAAUGCCCUUCUGACUAGUAAAAUUAAAAUGUAUGACUCUGCAAAUCCAUUAAAAUAAUAUACAACAACUGCAAACAACUAGGCCUAAUUAAUUGUGACACAAUAAGUUUUGGUUAACAUCACAAUAACUUUGGUUUUGACAGUAGUCUGUCUUUUUUUUUUUAUCAUUUUGAUUCAUAAAUGUAGUGACAUUUAGACAUUUUUAAGUGUCUUAAAUGUCCACAUAUUGUUAAUUCCACACAUGUUUUGGACACCACCAUCACGGCAGAGACCCAUCCUCAUCAUCUUGAUGAGACGCCUGUUGGUACUGGUGAUAUUAGUGAAGGGAGAAAGGUGAAAAAGAAGAAGAGGUUUUGGAAACAUUUCAUUCCACUCUUUUUUUCGCUGAAAAGCUGGAAAACACGACCUGGCUCGGGCUGAGAAGGUGUACCAGAGUGAGGCUGGAUCAAAUCUGAGACCUACUGAUGAUCACACUUCUCGACAGAACAUUGCCUCUGAAGUGCUCCCUAUUGCUGAGGAACAGCUGGAGCAGGACGUCUUGCCACAUCAGGAUGAUAAAACUCCAGUUAGUUCAUUUGAAGAUGACGACACUGAAGAGCUGGACAAGGGGCACAUUUGUUGGCGUUAUGAAAUUGGCCACAAGCUGGGAGGAGGAUUUGGCUUUGUGCAUGCAGGAACUCGCUGCAAAGAUGGACUUAAGGUGGCUAUGAAAUAUGCUGAGAAGACGCCACACAUGCCACAGGCCUACAUCACAGUUCCUGCUCAUCCCAAACGCCUCCCCAUGGAGAUCAGCCUGACGGCGUCCCGCAGAUCAUUAAACCGCUGGACUGGCACGACAGCACAGACCACUAUAUUAUGGUCUUGGAGCGCUCCAUGCCCUGCGUGAAUUUGUUUUGUUUCGUGAAGCUUCAUGGUGGAAGCCUUGAUGAGGGGAUGGCACAAAAUGUUAUCCGGCAGGUGAUUAAUGCUGCCAAUGUUUGCUGCGAGCGUGGUGUCUUCCAUUGUGAUAUAAAACUGGAGAACCUGCUCAUCAACCAGGACACCAUGAAAGUGCGGUGCACCUACGAAGGACUCUGCCUAGAUGGCCUUCCAUGGAAUAAGAGCAUACUAUCCACCAGAGUGCAAGCCUGAUGGCAAGUACCCCGCAAAGCCAGCGACUGUGUGGACACUAGGGUUCAUCCUGUUUGAAAUGAUGUGCGGAUAUUAUCCCACAGCAGAUGACCUGCAUAUGAUCAGUGAGAGCACCUGGUCCAGACCUGGCCUGUCACAAGGUCAUGGAGUAAGACGUGGAAAACCGCAGUCAUAUUUUCUUACAAAUUCUCUUUAACUGAAGAAAAUCACACGUUGUAGAGCCUCUGAAGUGCUCCCUUCUGUUGAGGAACAGCAGGAGCAGGACAUUCUAGUUAUUUCAACAACAGGUCACUUCACAGAAGAGCUGGACAAGGGUAGGUUUACUGCCAUAAUCCAAAACAUGAAACCAUUCAGUAUUUGAGAAUUUUAAUUCAGAUACCAAUUUACGAUUUAUUUUAGAGAUGUUUAAGAUAAAGUCAAAAGUGCCCCUAAAUGAAGAACCAAUUUGAGUACGUAAUAUUUUAUUCAAAUUACUUAAUUUAAGAUAUUCUCCCUUUAGAUCACACCUCUCUACAGAACAUUGUAGAAAUUGAUGAUCUUCAUGAAGCUCUCAGAUUUUGAGGAACAAAUGGAGCACAAGACUCAUUUGAUAAGAUUAUAUAUAUAUAUUUUUUUAAUCAUCAUAAUCUUUUCCCCAAGUCAGAUUUUUUGGUCUAAAUGUAAUGCAUUUCUACAAACACUGACUUUUGUUUCAGAUUAUAGAGUAAGACAUGGAAAACCUCACAAUGAUGUGUUGCCUGGAUAACAGCAUAAAAGAAACAAAAAUUAGGUUAGCAGUGAAAUGUUUAAUGUUUUUUUUUUCCAGUGUGUAUCAUAUUAAACAACAACAAUAAUAAUAAUAAUAAUAUACCCCUGAAAGGUAUAUGUGCUUUGUGCAAGUCAAAUACAGUUAUUAUAAGUACUACAUGUACAAGAGCAACGUUUCUCUAAAAAGGUAAACAUUACAAGACAUUGGAGUGCUAUUAAAAGGAGAUUUGGGCAAAAACAUUAUUAUUGAAUUAGCAUUACUCUUUUAAGUAUCAUGUCUUAGUUUCAUAGUUUUGUUUUCACACAUGGAAGUAACAAACACUAGCAAGAAAAAGGGAAUGGGUCAAAUGAUGAGUUCAGAGAGUAUAGAUGCGUUCGGGUUCAGUGAUUCUUUAGGAAUAUGAGGAGGAUUGAACUGUAAAAGGCUUCCUGGUGAUUAGUAGGCAUGGUUGGCCACAAAGAGAGACUCUCCAGCAGCAGCACCCUUAUCUCCCAAAGACUCAUACUUCCCAACACAGGCCUUGCUGU